GGAUGUGCCGGCCUCGUGGCUUGUCCGAUUUGCACGGUGACUUGAUUACACGCUCUCAUUCACGGUCACUUCCGAAGCGCUUUCAGUGCCCUUCCGUCCCCAAACCGCCAACAGGCGCGGCGGCUUCCCUCCGCGGUUUGUCAAUGAUCCGCGCCGGCCGUCCGGAAGGGCCUUCGCCUCACCCGGGUUCCAC
rnacentral:lncRNA from 1 species